rfam:Myotis lucifugus cont2.14448, whole genome shotgun sequence.
GCCAGUGUGCUCAAUGGUUAGAGCGUUGGCCUGCACACCAAAGGUUGCAGGUUUGAUUCCUGGUUAAGGGCA